GAUGAACGCUGGCGGCGUGCCUAAUACAUGCAAGUCGAGCGAACAGAUGAGGAGCUUGCUCCUCUGACGUUAGCGGCGGACGGGUGAGUAACACGUGGAUAACCUACCUAUAAGACUGGGAUAACUUCGGGAAACCGGAGCUAAUACCGGAUAAUAUAUUGAACCGCAUGGUUCAAUAGUGAAAGACGGUUUUGCUGUCACUUAUAGAUGGAUCCGCGCUGCAUUAGCUAGUUGGUAAGGUAACGGCUUACCAAGGCAACGAUGCGUAGCCGAUCUGAGAGGGUGAUCGACCACACUGGAAGUGAGACACGGUCCAAACACCUACGGGAGGCAGCAGUAGGGAAUCUUCCGCAAUGGGCGAAAGCCUGACGGAACAGCGCCGCGUGAGUGAUGAAGGUCUUCGGAUCGUAAAACUCUGUUAUUAGGGAAGAACAAAUGUGUAAGUAACUAUGCACGUCUUGACGGUACCUGAUCAGAAAGCCACGGCUAACUACGUG
rnacentral:rRNA from 1 species